CGCGGCCUAUCAGCUUGUUGGUGAGGUAACGGCUCACCAAGGCAUCGACGGGUAGCUGGUCUGAGAGGACGAUCAGCCACACUGGGACUGAGACACGGCCCAGACUCCUACGGGAGGCAGCAGUAGGGAAUCUUGCGCAAUGGGCGAAAGCCUGACGCAGCAACGCCGCGUGGGGGAUGAAUGCCUUCGGGUUGUAAACCCCUUUCAGCAGGGACGAAAAUGACGGUACCUGCAGAAGAAGCUCCGGCCAACUACAUGCCAGCAGCCGCGGUAAUACGUAGGGAGCGAGCGUUGUCCGGAAUUAUUGGGCGUAAAGAGCUCGUAGGCGGUUCAGUAAGUCGGGUGUGAAAACUCAAGGCUCAACCUUGAGACGCCACUCGAUACUGCUGUGACUUGAGUCCGGUAGAGGAGUGUGGAAUUCCUGGUGUAGCGGUGAAAUGCGCAGAUAUCAGGAGGAACACCAGCGGCGAAGGCGGCACUCUGGGCCGGUACUGACGCUGAGGAGCGAAAGCAUGGGGAGCAAACAGGAUUAGAUACCCUGGUAGUCCAUGCCGUAAACGUUGGGCACUAGGUAUGGGAUCAUAUCAACGGAUUCCGUGCCGUAGCUAACGCAUUAAGUGCCCCGCCUGGGGAGUACGG
rnacentral:rRNA from 1 species